rnacentral:rRNA from 1 species
GUGGCCCUACGGGGGGCAGCAGUGGGGGAUAUUGCACAAUGGGGGGAACCCUGAUGCAGCGACGCCGCGUGGGUGAAGGAGUAUUUCGGUAUGUAAAGCCCUAUCGGCAGGGAAGAAGAAAGACGGUACCUGACUAAGAAGCCCCGGCUAACUACGUGCCAGCAGCCGCGGGAAUACGUAGGGGGCGAGCGUUAUCCGGAUUCACUGGGUGUAAAGGGAGCGUAGACGGCCAAGCAAGCCAGGGGUGAAAGCCCGGGGCCCAACCCCGGGACGGCCCUUGGAACUGCAUGGCUGGAGU